UCAAAUAGUUGUGACUUCUACAUAAGUCCAAUUACGAUUGCUUAACAUAGCGCUAAAUUUUUGAUACAAAAGGCAUAACAUUCUAGUUAGUGAGAUUGUAAGUGUCCCCUCUUUCAUGGUAUUGUGUGGAAACUUGGCCUUUUCUCCUUCCUUUGGAAGAUGUCUUGGUUCAAGGAUCCAUGCUUGUGAUAAGUGGGUUGAGUGUUCUCCAAAGAAUGAG
rnacentral:lncRNA from 1 species